UGGGGAAUAUUGCACAAUGGGCGCAAGCCUGAUGCAGCCAUGCCGCGUGUGUGAAGAAGGCCUUCGGGUUGUAAAGCACUUUCAGCGAGGAGGAAGGUGGUGAGCUUAAUACGCUCAUCAAUUGACGUUACUCGCAGAAGAAGCACCGGCUAACUCCGUGCCAGCAGCCGCGGUAAUACGGAGGGUGCAAGCGUUAAUCGGAAUUACUGGGCGUAAAGCGCACGCAGGCGGUUUGUUAAGUCAGAUGUGAAAUCCCCGGGCUCAACCUGGGAACUGCAUUUGAAACUGGCAAGCUAGAGUCUCGUAGAGGGGGGUAGAAUUCCAGGUGUAGCGGUGAAAUGCGUAGAGAUCUGGAGGAAUACCGGUGGCGAAGGCGGCCCCCCUGGACGAAGACUGACGCUCAGGUGCGAAAGCGUGGGGCAGCAAACAGGAUUAGAUACCCUGGUAGUCCACGCUGUAAACGAUGUCGAUUUGGAGGUUGUGCCCUUGAGGCGUGGCUUCCGGAGCUAACGCGUUAAAUCGACCGCCU
rnacentral:rRNA from 1 species